rnacentral:lncRNA from 1 species
GCAUUUGUACCUAGAGUUGUUUGGCUCGUACCCAGACAUUUAAUUCCUUCUUUUUUUGGAUAAGAUGUUGUUUUCCCUCUACGGUACAAAUCCCAUUUCUCCUAUGGAUUCCAAUAUACCCAUACAUUUGGUUUCAAACUAUAACUUUUCAAUCACUUGUUACCAAAUCCUUCACUUGUUUGACUUUGGUCAUUCAUUCCAUUCAUCUCCAUGAUACAUUCAUAUUCUAC